CGCCUGUUUAACAAAAACAUCUUUUCUUGCAUGUAUGUGAAAUAUAACCUGGCCACUGAAGUUGAUUUGAAGGGCCGCGGUAAUUUGACCGUGCAAAGGUAGCAUAAUCAUUAGUCUCUUGAUUAGAGGCUGGAAUGGAUGGUUUGACGAGAUAUAAACUGUCUUUUAUUUAAGAUUUGAAUUUAAUUAUUGAGUAAGAAAGCUUAAAUUUUUUUAUGGGACGAGAAGACCCUAUAGAGUUUAAUAUUUAUAAAUUAUUAAUAGGUUUGAUGAAUUAUUUUUAUUAAUAAUUAUUUUAUUGGGGUGAUGAAAAGGUAAAAUUAACUCUUUUUAUUGUAAAAUAUUUAUUUAUAGAUAUUUGAUCCAAAAAUUUUGAUUAUAAGACUAAAUUACCUUAGGGAUAACAGCGUAAUCUUUUUUGAGAGUUCCUAUCGACAAAAAGGGUUGCGACCUCGAUGUUGGAUUAAGAUGAAUAUUAGGUGUAGAAAUUUAAUAUAUUAGGUCUGUUCGACCUUUAAAAUCUUACGUGAUCUGAGUUCAGACCGGAAUCG
rnacentral:rRNA from 1 species